AAGUCGUAACAGGUUCCGUAAGUGAACCUGCGGAAGGAUCUUAAUGGAGUUAGGUCGUCCGGGGCCCGACCUCCAACCCUUUGUUGUCACAAAACCAAUUGUUGCUUUGGCGUGGACCGCCCGCGAGGGCUGCCGGUCUUAGGCCCGGCAUGCGCCCGCCAGAGGAAAACCAAACUCUUGUUUAUCAAACCGUACGUCUGAGUAAAAAUGAUUAAAUCAAUCAAAA
rnacentral:misc_RNA from 1 species